UACAUGUGGGGCAAGCGUUGUUCGGAAUUACUGGGCAUAAAGGGUGCGUAGGUGGCUUGUUAAGUCAGUGGUGAAAGUUUUCGGCCCAACCGGAAAAUGGCCUUUGAUACUGGCGAGCUCGAGUGCGUGAGGGGUAACCGGAACGAGCAGUGUAGCGGUGAAAUGCGUAGAUAUUGCUCGGAAGGCCAACGGCGAAGGCAGGUUACUGGUACGCAACUGACACUGAGGCACGAAAGCGUGGGGAGCAAACAGG
rnacentral:rRNA from 1 species